rnacentral:rRNA from 1 species
CCUCGGGAGGCAGCAGUGAGGAAUAUUGGUCAAUGGGCUUACGCCUGAACCAGCCAAGUCGCGUGAGGGAAGACUGCCCUAUGGGUUGUAAACCUCUUUUGUCCGGGAGCAACGCCGGCUACGUGUAGCCGGACUGAGAGUACCUGAAGAAAAAGCAUCGGCUAACUCCGUGCCAGCAGCCGCGGUAAUACGGAGGAUGCGAGCGUUCUCCGGAUUUAUUGGGUUUAAAGGGUGCGUAGGCGGAAUGCCAAGUCAGCGGUAAAAUCGCGGGGCUCAACCUCCCCCCGCCGUUGAAACUGGGGUUCGUGAGUGGGCGAGAAGUAUGCGGAAUGCUGGGUGGAGCGGUGAAAUGCAUAGAGAGC